rnacentral:rRNA from 1 species
AUACGGAGGGUGCAAGCGUUAUUCGUAAUCACUGGGCGUAAAGGACGCGUAGGCGGGUUGGCAAGUCAGAUGUGAAAUCCUACAGCUUAACUGUAGAACUGCAUUUGAAACUGCUAACCUAGAGUAUGGGAGGGGGAGAUGGAAUUAGUGGUGUAGGGGUAAAAUCCGUAGAUAUCACUAGGAAUACCGAAAGCGAAGGCGAUCUCCUGGAACAUAACUGACGCUAAGGCGUGAAAGCGUGGGGAGCAAACAGGAUUAGAAACCCCAGUAGUCC